CGGAAGGAUCUGUUACUUCCUGCGAUUCUGGCUGUGCCCUGCGCGGCCGGAAGGGCAGCCCGGCAGCUGCUCCCAGGGUGGGUGGGGGCGGCUCCCUCUGUCACCCAUGCCGGCUUUUAUUUCCUUCUCUUUUAGCAUGUAAAGAGAGUGUAGCAGGAUACAGCACAACAUUCCCUCUCCGGCUCUCUGAGUAUGGUGUGAGGUACACCCUGAGCACCGUGUGGCCACCCCGUCCCCGGGACCUCUCCUCGGCACACACCGAAACUCUGUUCGGUUAAUCGCGAGAAAAGUAACUGAGACUUUUGCCAGCGGAGACAUUCGCCACCGGCCCUUUUGUGUCGGCUUGUGUACAGGACGGUUCGACAGGAGAACGGCGUCCGUUUAACUGUUCAUUUGGACGGAGCCUCCGCGGCUGAGGAUAACGCACUUUAAUCCUGACGUGCCCAACGUACAGAAAAGCUGAAGAAUGUUCCAGACAGCAGACACACAUAUGUCCAUCACUGAGACUGACAACUGUUAAUGCCCGGGACCCUUCCUACAUCGGGAAAUGACUCUGCUUUCUUCUUCUGCGACAGCAGUGUAUUUACCCUCUGCGUAUGAGUGAGAACAUGAGGCCUUCGUCUUCCUGUGCCUGGCUUACUUCAUUUAACAUAGCCCCCUUCAGGCUCAGCCAUGCUACCGUGAGGGACAGGAUUUCUCUCCGUUUUAAGGCUGAAUCGUUGUCUAUUGUGUAUAUACCAUACUCCUUGUUCAUCUGUGAACACCCGAAGGGAUUCCUCUGGGAUUCUGAAAGGUGUCCAUCGCAGCAUGCUUGUAACAGUGAAAAUCUGGGGACAAUGGGAUAGUUAGACAGAGAAGGUGUUUCUGUGUCGAGGAAUCCUCCAAGGCAAUUAAAGAGAAACACCCGGGGGACAGGAGGUGCUUGAAGUGAAAAAAAGUAAGCCGAGGAAUGACACACAGAGGGACCUGUCGCGUAUGUAAAGGGAAAAGGAGCUGCACACUCUUGCAUGUGCAUGUGUGUGUUCCAGGCAGGAGGCCUGUGCUCUGCCCUCUGCUGCAUCAAGACCUGCUGCUGCUUUGAUUGCUUCACCAGCUGAGAAGUAAGACCCAGAGAGAUGCAGACCUAAUGGAACAAGCACCGUGCCCCCGGCGCAGCUCGCCAUGGCGGUGGCCGUGCUAGUUGUCUCUUCCUUCUAAGCAGUAGCUCCUCGUUUGACAGCUCCCGCCUUCAUUCAGCGCCUGCCCCUGCGCAGCUAUGCGUUUCCUACCGUGGAUGCCUGGAACCUCCAGGGUUCCUCGCACUGGACUUUUCUUUUUCCCACUUAUUUUAAUAAAAAUAGUCUGAAGAA